AACACUGUUAACCUGCGGUACCUGCGGAAGGAUCAUUACAGGACUCGCAAGACUCCUUAAACCCCUGUGAACUUACUGUUUAUACGUUGCUUCGGCGGGUGCUCCGGGGUCCGCCCCGGGGCGCUGCGCCCGCCGGCAGCCUACUUAAUUCUGUUUCUCUGCGUUGGCAUCUCGAGUAAGCAAAAUAAGUUAAAACUUUCAACAAUGGAUCU
rnacentral:misc_RNA from 1 species